rnacentral:misc_RNA from 1 species
GUUAGUAUCUGUCCAAAACUCCUCCUGCAAUUCAUUGCACAAGUUAAGGCAUAUGCCUUCUCUAAACAUUCAUGUAAGUAACAUUAUGAUGUCAAAAUAAAAUCAAAGCAAAUUCUGCUUAUUUUCAAGCCAUUUUCUUACAGGAGGAAAAACUUCCAGUAAUAUUUUUCUUUCAACAUAUAUGAAUAUCAUCACUGAUAAGUGUCAUGAUAAGUUGUUACAUAACCUUCAUUUUUUUAUGGCAUGGUUAUCAACAUGAUCAUUUUGCUUCUGUAAAUUUCAUGAAUAGUUUUUCAUUUUGUGGAGAUGCUCAAAACAUCAAGUCCUAGUGUACAUGGAUGGCUUUUAAUAUAACAUAUUCCUUUUACUGAUUGGGAAAUAAAAUCUAAAAGGAAAAUAUGUAAACAAAUAAAACUCAUUUCAACUCACAUCCUUUAAGAUAUUGUUAAACA